AAACCGGUGCUAAUACCGGAUACCCCCAUACCAUCGCAUGAUGGAAUGAGGAAAUGAUUUAUUGCUCUUGGAGGGGCUCGCGGCCUAUCAGCUUGUUGGUGAGGUAAUGGCUCACCAAGGCUUCGACGGGUAGCUGGUCUGAGAGGACGACCAGCCACACUGGGACUGAGACACGGCCCAGACUCCUACGGGAGGCAGCAGUGGGGAAUAUUGCGCAAUGGGCGAAAGCCUGACGCAGCAACGCCGCGUGGAGGACGAAGGCUCUCGGGUUGUAAACUCCUUUCAGCAGGGAAGAAAUUGACGGUACCUGCAGAAGAAGCACCGGCCAACUACGUGCCAGCAGCCGCGGUAAUACGUAGGGUGCAAGCGUUGUCCGGAUUCAUUGGGCGUAAAGAGCUCGUAGGCGGCUUGGCAAGUCGGAUGUGAAACCCUCAGGCUCAACCUGGGGAUGCCAUCUGAUACUGCUAUGGCUAGAGUACGGUAGGGGACUACGGAAUUCCUGGUGUAGCGGUGAAAUGCGCAGAUAUCAGGAGGAACACCGGUGGCGAAGGCGGUAGUCUGGGCCGUUACUGACGCUGAGGAGCGAAAGCGUGGGGAGCGAACAGGAUUAGAUACCCUGGUAGUCCACGCCGUAAACGUUGGGCACUAGGUGUGGGGUCUAUUCGACGGACCCCGUGGCCGUAGCUACGCAUUAAAGUGCCCCGCCUGGGGAGUACGGCCGCAAGGCUAAACUCAAAGGAAUUGACGG
rnacentral:rRNA from 1 species